rnacentral:piRNA from 1 species
UCAAAGAUAAGCAAGAUUCUCCGUUGACAC